GGCUCCAUGGCCUAAUGGCAAGGCGUUACUUUCCGGUUGACACUGAUGGUAAAGAUUCUGGGUUCGAUCCCCAGUGGGGUCG